GGAAGGUGAUGACUGAUAUUUUCAGCCUCUAUUGUGAUGGUGGACACACUACCACAGUGGAGAGGUAGGAAGAGGGAGAAGAGAAUGGAUAACCGACCAUGUCAACUUGGUCAGCCACAGGCUCUGCGUCUUGCACGUCGUUAGUGCCCACCAGAGUGCUGGGUGCUCACAGAAAAAGUUGCUGACCCCUGUUCCAGACCAUACAUUUUCCAGCAAUCCUGUCCUUUAUACUCGACUUAACUGCCUCCCCCACACGCUGACAAGAGAAGAGUUUCUACUCUGAGACUGAAUCCCCGACCCUGGUCUCUGGCGCUUUCACCGUGGAAAAGAACACUCCCCUUGGGAGCCAGCCUGCCAAUCUUGCCUGUGACACCUGGCCUCCCCAGGGACCUUCUCCAUGGAUGUCACCAAUCACAAUCCCUUUACUAUUGAUGAGGAUGAUGUUCCAGUGACACACAUGGUUAUCCAGGCAUCCUUAUCAGAGGGGGAAAUGUGCCGGAAAGCACAGGGCUGAGCUCCACAACAUGGAUUCCCCCUCCUAUGACAUCUCGUAGAGGUACCAGCUCUCUCCUCGCCGCCCCCAAAGGGUAUGGCAGGCUUUAGCCCAUUAGCCUGUGCCCUCCUGUCUCCCAGGGACUGUAGAACUUUGUAGAAGGCCUCUCACUUGUGACCAGGUAUACAAGCCCCAGAGGGGCAUCACUCGCCCUGGCUGCGCCUGGCCCCUGGAUCACCUCGGAGAAGUCCACACCUGAGAUAGUCAACUCUUACCUAGCUUUUGCUGCCACCAGCUUGGUACUAAAGAAACGAAAACUUUCCC
rnacentral:lncRNA from 1 species